CUCGUAGGUGGCUUUGUAAGUCGGAGGUGAAAUCCCACGGCUCAACCGUGGACACGCCUUCGAAACUGUGAAGCUUGAGGCUGGGAGAGGAAAUCGGAAUUCCUGGUGUAGCGGUGAAAUGCGUAGAUAUCAGGAGGAACACCGGUGGCGAAGGCGGCUACCUGGACAGAAACUGACGCUGAGGCGCGAAAGCUAGGGGAGCAAACA
rnacentral:rRNA from 1 species